rnacentral:rRNA from 1 species
UACGAAGGGGGCUAGCGUUGCUCGGAAUCACUGGGCGUAAAGGGCGCGUAGGCGGCCAUUCAAGUCAGGGGUGAAAGCCUGUGGCUCAACCACAGAAUUGCCUUUGAUACUGUUUGGCUAGAGUGCUGGAGGGGAGACUGGAAUUUACGGUGUAGCAGUGAAAUGCGUAGAUAUCGUAAGGAAGACCAGUGGCGAAGGCGAGUCUCUGGACAGCAACUGACGCUGAGGCACGAAGGCCAGGGGAGCAAACGGG